AGUAACGCGUGGGUAACCUGCCUCAUACAGGGGGAUAACAGUUAGAAAUGACUGCUAAUACCGCAUAAGCGCACAAAACCGCAUGGUUUGGUGUGAAAAACUGAGGUGGUAUGAGAUGGACCUGCGUCUGAUUAGCUAGUUGGAGAGGUAACGGCUCACCAAGGCAACGAUCAGUAGCCGACCUGAGAGGGUGACCGGCCACAUUGGGACUGAGACACGGCCCAAACUCCUACGGAAGGCAGCAG
rnacentral:rRNA from 1 species